rnacentral:rRNA from 1 species
UCGAGCCUACGGGGCGCAGCAGUCGGGAAUAUUGCGCAAUGGAGGAAACUCUGACGCAGUGACGCCGCGUAUAGGAAGAAGGUCUUCGGAUUGUAAACUAUUGUCGUUAGGGAAGAAAAAGGACAGUACCUAAGGAGGAAGCUCCGGCUAACUACGUGCCAGCAGCCGCGGUAAUACGUAGGGAGCAAGCGUUAUCCGGAUUUAUUGGGUGUAAAGGGUGCGUAGCCGGGAAUUUAAGUUAGUUGUGAAAUCCAUCGGCUCAACUGAGGAACUGCAACUAAAACUGGCUUUCUUGAGUGCUGGAG